rnacentral:rRNA from 1 species
UACGUAGGGUGCAAGCGUUAAUCGGAAUUACUGGGCGUAAAGCGUGCGCAGGCGGUGAUGUAAGACAGUUGUGAAAUCCCCGGGCUCAACCUGGGAACUGCAUCUGUGACUGCAUCGCUGGAGUGCGGCAGAGGGGGAUGGAAUUCCGCGUGUAGCAGUGAAAUGCGCAGAUAUCAGGAAGAACACCGAUGGCGAAGGCAAUCCCCUGGGCCGAUACUGACACUGAGGAGCGAAAGCGUGGGGAGCGAACAGG